rnacentral:misc_RNA from 1 species
AACGCAACUUGCGCCUCUCUGAGGCAUGUCUGUUUGAGUGCCGCAUACUCCUGCAGUACGUGUGUAAUGUACGUACUGUGUGUUGACAGCUGUCUCUGGACUCUGUCUAAACGUAGCCAGUUGUCGUGGGUGCGUCCAGCCCGAGUGCUAAGCAUUCUUGGCCUGGCCGCCGCCGCGAUAAUUACGCCAAUCUUCUACUUUGGCCUCAAAUCAGGCAGGACUACCCGCUGAACUUAA